rnacentral:rRNA from 1 species
UGGGGAAUUUUGCACAAUGGGGGAAACCCUGAUGCAGCGACGCCGCGUGAGCGAAGAAGGCUUUCGAGUCGUAAAGCUCUGUCCUAUGAGAAGAUAAUGACGGUAUCAUAGGAGGAAGCCCUGGCUAAAUACGUGCCAGCAGCCGCGGUAAUACGUAUGGGGCGAGCGUUGUCCGGAAUUAUUGGGCGUAAAGGGUACGUAGGUGGUUUUUUAAGUCAGGUGUCAAAGCGUGGAGCUUAACUCCAUUAAGCACUUGAAACUGAAAGACUUGAGUGAAGGAGAGGAAAGUGGAAUUCCUAGUGUAGCGGUGAAAUGCGUAGAUAUUAGGAGGAAUACCGGUGGCGAAGGCGACUUUCUGGACUUUUACUGACGCUCAGGUACGAAAGCGUGGGGAGCAAACAGG